rnacentral:rRNA from 1 species
UACGUAGGGCGCAAGCGUUGUCCGGAAUUAUUGGGCGUAAAGAGCUCGUAGGCGGCUUGUCGCGUCGAUUGUGAAAGCCCGGGGCUUAACCUCGGGUCUGCAGUCGAUACGGGCUGGCUAGAGUGUGGUAGGGGAGAUCGGAAUUCCUGGUGUAGCGGUGAAAUGCGCAGAUAUCAGGAGGAACACCGGUGGCGAAGGCGGAUCUCUGGGCCAUUACUGACGCUGAGGAGCGAAAGCGUGGGGAGCGAACGGG